GACGAACGCUGGCGGCGCGCUUAACACAUGCAAGUCGAACGGUAAGGCCUUUCGGGAUACACGAGUGGCGAACGGGUGAGUAACACGUGGGUGAUCUGCCCUGCACUUCGGGAUAAGCCCGGGAAACUGGGUCUAAUACCGGAUAGGACUGCGCGGUGCAUGCCGUGUGGUGGAAAGAUUUAUCGGUGCAGGAUGGGCCCGCGGCCUAUCAGCUUGUUGGUGGGGUAAUGGCCUACCAAGGCGACGACGGGUAGCCGGCCUGAGAGGGCGACCGGCCACACUGGGACUGAGACACGGCCCAGACUCCUACGGGAGGCAGCAGUGGGGAAUAUUGCACAAUGGGCGCAAGCCUGAUGCAGCGACGCCGCGUGAGGGAUGACGGCCUUCGGGUUGUAAACCUCUUUCAGCAGGGACGAAGCGUGAGUGACGGUACCUGCAGAAGAAGCACCGGCCAACUACGUG
rnacentral:rRNA from 1 species